UUCAGGGAGAGAGGAAAAGAACUGUACAGUCCUUCUCUAGGUAGCUUCCCCCUAGCCCCAAUAAGAGAGGGCAUCAGAAGUGACGGAGACUCCUGAAGUGGGUAUUAGUGUAGGGCAACUGAUAGACAGGAGGCCCUGGGUAUAGACUGGAGUAGACAUGGAGACUAGGGACAAGACUCUAGAGAGGUAAACCCUGACAGUCAGUGUUCUGCAGAAGAAUAGAGAAGGGGGGAGGAUCCAGGCUGGACUAAAAGUUAAAGCUUAGGGAAAGGAUAGUAGUUGUUUUUGGUGUGGUGUUUUUUGUUUUGGGUCAGAGAUUCCCUGGAGAAGGCCUGAGGCUACUAAGGACAGAGGAGUGGAAUGGAACAGUGUCAGUGGGGUGCUGUCUGUGUCGAAUGCUGAUAUCCUCAAAGGGAGGGAACUAAUGUGACCUGCCCAGAAGGCUGAAUUGCAAGAAGAAAAGUCACUGCAUUGCCAAGGCUGCUUUCUAGGAAAGAGCUACUGUGCCACACCUAGCUGUGAGGGGUCUGUCAGAGGUUAGGGGCCUAAGGCUUAGACCUGAUGGGAAGACAGUGUUGUGGUGAAAGGCAAGGCAGAGGAUGCAGCAGAAGCGAGGUUCCCCACUACUGACUGAAAUCACUAAGAAGUGGAUUAAAUGGUGGAACCUGAGACUGUGUCAUCACAACUAAAGAGCAGCAAGCAGCAGAAGCAACAAUGAUGUUAGUGUGCAGCAACAUUGACAGAGGUGGCAGCAACAGUGGGCAGCAGCAGCAACCUUCACUCCUCACAUGGGCGAGAGGUGAACACACCGGGACUGUCAUAUUUCACUGAUCCAAGAGAACCAACCCUAAGUGGCGUGUUAAAGGGACUUUCGUCUAUUGGACUGUCACACUGCAAAGUUUGUAUCCAUCUGUACUAGUACCUGUAGGUUCAUGCUUCAGUUUAACACCUCAUGCCCAUUUGCCCCCACUGGAGAAUGGAGACAGCGCACAGUGAUCAGAAUGGAAAUAGCAACCUUAGGCUUGUUUUCAUGAGUAGGCUAUUACUUCUACAAGAAAACAAUCUCACGAGAAGACUACAGCUUUACAGAUCAAUGGAGAUACCUUCAGACUGCUGAACAACUAUUUUAAAGUAUUAUAGAUAAAAUUUUAAAGAUUUCACAAAUGUUCUUGGCCAUCCUGUAUACUUCUGACAGCUCUCCAAAGGACCCAUCUUCUGGCUAAAGAAAAGUGGAAAUAACAGAUAGCCUUCACAAAGGUCAUUGGAUUCAGUACUUUGGAAGGAAAGCCCACUGACACUUGAUGAUUUGAAAGCAAAUCCUCAGAGAUACUCAGAUACCACUCAUCAGUCACCAGAUGGACACCUAUGUUUUUAAACAGCGACAGUUUGCUAUCUGCUAAAUUUCAUUUAAUGGUCUCUGCUCCAGAGCAGAUAACAAUAAUUCAGGGAAUUUAUCUGGAUUAUCUGACUGACCUUUUCCUCUCAUUUCUCAGUCAGUCUUGCUUCUUGCUUUCAACAUGUGUCAGAAGUCAUUGCUGCUCUCCUCUCCUGUCCCUGAAAUGUCACUGCCUUGAUACUCUGUAAGUGAUUCUGCCUAACUCUUGUCUUGCUCCUGUGUUCUGUUGUUGCCUACGUUACAGUCUUGCAGCCUGAAACGUACACAAAAUAUGUGUUAGCAUGCAAAGUUAUUAUUUUCUUUGGGUUGUUAAACAUGCCAAUCUAAUCCUACACUAUCUACUCCGCCUCUUUCAGUUUAAGAAGCAGUAAAAGCAAGUGUGCAAAAGGAGAACAAGGCCCAUUUUUAAGCAAUAGAAUUCUUUAUUGAGUUAAUCCUAAUUGCUGAAUUAUCAUUUCAGAUACUAUAUAUUUGGCAAAGCAAACUUUGGAUAUUUAUCCUUCUGUGUGUUACAUCAACUUAAUGUCAGUGAACGCUCUUUCCUAUUCUAGCAAAUAGUGACACACCCAGCAGUUUUGCCAGGUUGGAAACUGAUUAUUCAUCUUUAAAAAUUGAUAGGACUAUUUUGUGUUAAUUAGAAGUAAUGAUAGAUUUUUCUGGUUUUUUAAAGUAUAUUCCAUUGUUGUCCUUUAGCUUUUAAUAGACUUUGAUUGACAGCUUUGGAUAACUCUAGGGAGUUGGCUCAGAGGAAUAACACUCAAAUAAAGCAAAACAUAAAUAUUAUUAACAAAACUAUUCAUCUCAACUGCUUCAUCAGAAUUAAUUCAGCUUCUCAAACUGCGUAUAACUGUCUAAUAAAGAGUUAGCUGCAUCGCACAGUCUGUGAACAUUCAAUCAGGAUGGCAUAAUGUUGCAGUAUUAUUGAAAUAAACAUAAACCUUUUAGUAACCUGCCAGGGGAUCCUGAUAGAUUAUUUUCAUUGAAUUUCUAAUUGCAGUGAAGCUGCCAUUGUAGUCUAAAGUGAAAAUAGUGACUGUAAAUAUGGUCUAAUUGUGUGUU